GACGAACGCUGGCGGCGUGCCUAACACAUGCAAGUCAACUUGACUGAAGGAGCAAUCUGACAGUAGAGUGGCGCAAGGGUGCGUAACGCGUAAGUAACUUGCCCAAGGUAAGGAAUAACGUCGAGAAAUCGGCGCUAAUACCUCAUAAUGCAGCGGAUCCGCAUGGAUAUGUUGUUAAAGGUUUACCGCCUUGGGAUAGGCUUGCGUCUGAUUAGCUAGUUGGUGUGGUAACGGCACACCAAGGCUACGAUCAGUAACUGGUCUGAGAGGAUGAUCAGUCACACUGGAACUGAGACACGGUCCAGACUCCUACGGGAGGCAGCAGUGAGGAAUAUUGGGCAAUGCUCGAAAGAGUGACCCAGCAACGCCGCGUGGAGGAUGAAGGUAUUCUAUAUCGUAAACUCCUGUGAGAGCAGACGAAAGACAGAUUAUUAAUCUGGAUGACUGUAUGCUCAGA
rnacentral:rRNA from 1 species